GGAUAACUUCGGGAAACCGGAGCUAAUACCGGAUACGUUCUUUUCUCGCAUGAGAGAAGAUGGAAAGACGGUUUACGCUGUCACUUAUAGAUGGGCCCGCGGCGCAUUAGCUAGUUGGUGAGGUAAUGGCUCACCAAGGCGACGAUGCGUAGCCGACCUGAGAGGGUGAUCGGCCACACUGGGACUGAGACACGGCCCAGACUCCUACGGGAGGCAGCAGUAGGGAAUCUUCCGCAAUGGACGAAAGUCUGACGGAGCAACGCCGCGUGAACGAAGAAGGCCUUCGGGUCGUAAAGUUCUGUUGUUAGGGAAGAACAAGUACCAGAGUAACUGCUGGUACCUUGACGGUACCUAACCAGAAAGCCACGGCUAACUACGUGCCAGCAGCCGCGGUAAUACGUAGGUGGCAAGCGUUGUCCGGAAUUAUUGGGCGUAAAGCGCGCGCAGGUGGUUCCUUAAGUCUGAUGUGAAAGCCCACGGCUCAACCGUGGAGGGUCAUU
rnacentral:rRNA from 2 species